rnacentral:rRNA from 1 species
ACUCAAAGGAAUUGACGGGGGCCCGCACAAGCGGAGGAACAUGUGGUUUAAUUCGAUGAUACGCGAGGAACCUUACCCGGGCUCGAACGGCGAGUGGAUAUGUAAGAGAUUGCAUAGUCAGCAAUGACACUUGUCGAGGUGCUGCAUGGUUGUCGUCAGCUCGUGCCGUGAGGUGUCGGCUUAAGUGCCAUAACGAGCGCAACCCUUGUUGUCAGUUGCCAUCAGGUAAAGCUGGGGACUCUGGCGAGACUGCCACCGUAAGGUGAGAGGAAGGGGGGGAUGACGUCAAAUCAGCACGGCCCUUACGUCCGGGGCGACACACGUGUUACAAUGGGUGGUACAGAGGGAAGCAACUAUGUGAAUAGGCGCGAAUCUCCAAAGCCACUCUCAGUUCGGAUUGGAGUCUGCAACUCGACUCCAUGAAGUUGGAUUCGCUAGUAAUCGCGCAUCAGCCAUGGCGCGGUGAAUACGUUCCCGGGCCUUGCACACACCGCCCGU